rnacentral:rRNA from 1 species
GACGAACGCUGGCGGCGUGCCUAAUACAUGCAAGUCGAGCGGACUUGACAGAGCUUGCUCUGUUCAAGUUAGCGGCGGACGGGUGAGUAACACGUCGGCAACCUGCCCUGCAGAUUGGGAUAACUCCGGGAAACCGGGGCUAAUACCGAAUAACAUUGAAAACCUCAUGGUUUUCUUUUAAAAGGCGGCUUCGGCUGUCACUGCAGGAUGGGCCCGCGGCGCAUUAGCUAGUUGGUGAGGUAACGGCUCACCAAGGCAACGAUGCGUAGCCGACCUGAGAGGGUGAUCGGCCACACUGGGACUGAGACACGGCCCAGACUCCUACGGGAGGCAGCAGUAGGGAAUCUUCCGCAAUGGACGAAAGUCUGACGGAGCAACGCCGCGUGAGUGAAGAAGGUUUUCGGAUCGUAAAACUCUGUUGUUAGGGAAGAACAAGUAUCGGAGUAACUGCCGGUACCUUGACGGUACCUGACCAGAAAGCCACGGCUAACUACGUGCCAGCCGCCGCAGUAACAC